rnacentral:rRNA from 2 species
GGGGAAUAUUGCACAAUGGGGGAAACCCUGAUGCAGCGACGCCGCGUGGAGGAAGAAGGUCUUCGGAUUGUAAACUCCUGUUGUUGAGGAAGAUAAUGACGGUACUCAACAAGGAAGUGACGGCUAACUACGUGCCAGCAGCCGCGGUAAAACGUAGGUCACAAGCGUUGUCCGGAAUUACUGGGUGUAAAGGGAGCGCAGGCGGGAAGACAAGUUGGAAGUGAAAUCUAUGGGCUCAACCCAUAAACUGCUUUCAAAACUGUUUUUCUUGAGUAGUGCAGAGGUAGGCGGAAUUCCCGGUGUAGCGGUGGAAUGCGUAGAUAUCGGGAGGAACACCAGUGGCGAAGGCGGCCUACUGGGCACCAACUGACGCUGAGGCUCGAAAGUGUGGGUAGCAAACAGGAUUAGAUACCCUGGUAGUCCACACCGUAAACGAUGAUUACUAGGUGUUGGAGGAUUGACCCCUUCAGUGCCGCAGUUAACACAAUAAGUAAUCCACCUGGGGAGUACGACCGCAAGGUUGAAACUCAAAGGAAUUGACGGGGGCCCGCACAAGCAGUGGAGUAUGUGGUUUAAUUCGACGCAACGCGAAGAACCUUACCAAGUCUUGACAUCCUGCGACGAUGCUGGAAACAGUAUUUUCCUUCGGGACGCAGAGACAGGUGGUGCAUGGUUGUCGUCAGCUCGUGUCGUGAGAUGUUGGGUUAAGUCCCGCAACGAGCGCAACCCUUACUGUCAGUUACUACGCAAGAGGACUCUGGCAGGACUGCCGUUGACAAAACGGAGGAAGGUGGGGAUGACGUCAAAUCAUCAUGCCCUUUAUGACUUGGGCUACACACGUACUACAAUGGCGUUAAACAAAGAGAAGCAAGACCGCGAGGUGGAGCAAAACUCAGAAACAACGUCCCAGUUCGGACUGCAGGCUGCAACUCGCCUGCACGAAGUCGGAAUUGCUAGUAAUCGUGGAUCAGCAUGCCACGGUGAAUACGUUCCCG